rnacentral:rRNA from 1 species
UCUACUAGCCGUUGGAGGACUUGAUCCUUUAGUGGCGCAGCUAACGCGAUAAGUAGACCGCCUGGGGAGUACGGUCGCAAGAUUAAAACUCAAAUGAAUUGACGGGGGCCCGCACAAGCGGUGGAGCAUGUGGUUUAAUUCGAAGCAACGCGAAGAACCUUACCUACUCUUGACAUCCAGUGAACUUUUGAGAGAUCAAUUGGUGCCUUCGGGAACACUGAGACAGGUGCUGCAUGGCUGUCGUCAGCUCGUGUUGUGAAAUGUUGGGUUAAGUCCCGUAACGAGCGCAACCCUUGUCCUUAGUUACCAUCAUUAAGUUGGGGACUCUAAGGAGACUGCCGGUGACAAACCGGAGGAAGGCGGGGACGACGUCAAGUCAUCAUGGCCCUUACGAGUAGGGCUACACACGUGCUACAAUGGCAUGUACAAAGGGUUGCCAAGCCGCGAGGUGGAGCUAAUCCCAUAAAGCAUGUCGUAGUCCGGAUUGGAGUCUGCAACUCGACUCCAUGA